rnacentral:rRNA from 1 species
CCUACGGGAGGCAGCAGUGGGGAAUAUUGCACAAUGGGGGAAACCCUGAUGCAGCGACGCCGCGUGAGCGAUGAAGUAUUUCGGUAUGUAAAGCUCUAUCAGCAGGGAAGAAGAUGACGGUACCUGACUAAGAAGCCCCGGCUAACUACGUGCCAGCAGCCGCGGUAAUACGGAGGGGGCAAGCGUUAUCCGGAUUUACUGGGUGUAAAGGGAGCGUAGACGGCGAUGCAAGCCAGGUGUGAAAGCGCGGGGCUCAACCCCGGGACUGCAUUUGGAACUGUGUGGCUGGAGUGUCGGAGAGGCAGGCGGAAUUCCUAGUGUAGCGGUGAAAUGCGUAGAUAUUAGGAGGAACACCAGUGGCGAAGGCGGCAUGCUGGACGAUGACUGACGUUGAGGCUCGAAAGCGUGGGGAGCGAACAGGAUUAGAUACCCCUGUAGUC